rnacentral:rRNA from 1 species
GAUGAACGCUAGCGGCAGGCUUAACACAUGCAAGUCGAGGGGUAUAGGAAGCUUGCUUCCUAGAGACCGGCGCACGGGUGCGUAACGCGUAUGCAAUCUACCUUUUACAGAGGGAUAGCCCAGAGAAAUUUGGAUUAAUACCUCAUAGUAUCUUUGCCUGCAUCAGGUGAUUAUUAAAGUUCCAACGGUAAAAGAUGAGCAUGCGUCCUAUUAGCUAGAUGGUAAGGUAACGGCUUACCAUGGCGACGAUAGGUAGGGGUCCUGAGAGGGAGAUCCCCCACACUGGUACUGAGACACGGACCAGACUCCUACGGGAGGCAGCAGUGAGGAAUAUUGGACAAUGGGCGCAAGCCUGAUCCAGCCAUGCCGCGUGCAGGAAGAAGCAUCUAUGGUGUGUAAACUGCUUUUGUACGGGAAGAAACACUCCUACGUGUAGGAGCUUGACGGUACCGUAAGAGUAAGGAUCGGCUAACUCCGUGCCAGCCGCCGCAGUAAAAC